AAGCGAACCACGAAAAGUCGGUCUCAGUUCGGA
rnacentral:sRNA from 1 species